rnacentral:rRNA from 1 species
UCCACGCCGUAAACGAUGAGAACUAGACGUUGGGGGGAAAUUGCUCCUUAGUGUCGCAGCUAACACAAUAAGUUCUCCGCCUGGGGAGUACGGUCGCAAGAUUAAAACUCAAAGGAAUUGACGGGGGCCCGCACAAGCGGUGGAGCAUGUGGUUUAAUUCGAUGCAACGCGAAGAACCUUACCUGCCCUUGACAUCCUCGGAAUCUUACAGAGAUGUGGGAGUGCCUUCGGGA